UGCCUGAACUCUUCGGGAAUCGGAAUGAGACCUUUGCUGAAAUGCGAUCCAGUUUGGGCGGAUUCAUCCUUCUGCAGAUCGAUGCUCCAAAUGGCCACUUUUGGAUUGGGUCGGCCGGGCUGAACAUGUCGAGCAUAUUGUGUUUUGCCCUUGACUCAACAUAAUGGACAAAAUAGGGAGGAACGAUCCGAUCUUACCUUAGGAUAGCGGAUGGCAUUGGUAACCGGAUACUGGUCUUGCACUGAUCCGGGCUCACCAUAAACGGAAAACUCCAUAUGGUCAACUUGGCGAUCAUCAAAAGAGGCAAAAACCAUGCGAGCGCCACUGUUGGCAAUCCAGAUAGCGUUAUCUUGGCUCAAUACUUCCUCUACCGUUUCACAAAAAAAGAGCCAAUUAGUUUCAUCACGACUUUUAAAAAGGAAAAGCUGAAUGACUAACCUUCAUAAACCCAAUCAGGGACGCCAUUGAAGAUGGCCUCGUGUUCACCAUCGUUGGUGAGACGAACAUCAGCUAUUGUCGAGUCGGGCAUCUGCCGGAAAUAGAUAUCGUUGUUGUAAACGUAAAUUAUGUUGUUUUCUUUUUUGUUCCAGGUGGCGUAACGCAUUUGCGGCUGGGGCUCGUUCGGAACAGGUCUCAGUGGAUACACGAUUUCCUUUUCCAAGUCGAUGAUGGAAUAGCGAGCCAAGCUGGAAUACCGGUAAGACUGCGGACGUGCAAAAUUUCGUCAUCAUUAAGGUCUGAGUUAUUAUUACGUAAUCGUUAAGUGGGGAAGAAAGGGAAAUCUUACCGAUUUUAUGUCGAAACUGUAGAGGACAUAUUUUCGAUCGUGUGAAAACUUGUACGUAAUUGCCCCCAAUUGCGCCUAGCGGGUACAACAGAUUGCGUUUAACGUAACAAUUGUUGUUCGACAUUUCCUGCAAAUUAAAAAACACUUACCACAAUUUCGGGUUUCACCAUCACAGUUGCCGUGGAAGUUUUGACGUCGUAAACGUUGAUUCCAUAUUGCGCCGUUCGGUAGCCGAAUUCGCUGUCUGCGCGUUUAAAAUAGAUGCCGAUAAGCUUUAAGUAACAAACGAGUUCAAACAAUAGUUAAGAACCUGAAAUCCAUGUUCCGUUGAACGAUUCGGCGUAAAACUUUCCGCUGAGUACUUCUUCCAAAGUAAAACCUUCCUGCUGUCUUGCCGAAGGUUUUGCAUCGGUGAAAGCACUUCCGUAGACGGUCGCCAAUACAAUGGCGACAGCGACUCCUGCCAAACCCAUGGUUGUAACGAAUAUGACAAGGAAUCGACGGUGGCGGUGGUUUUGAUACUCGCUGCUGCUAUGGACGGCCGAGCCCUGCUCUGUCGACACGUCGCUCAGUAAGCCCUUGACGGACCCAAAAAUUUGAGAAUUAACAACAGGGGCUAUGUGUGUGUGUGUUUUGGGGUUUUGGGUGGUGUAAUCUCCCUUGAAAGGGAUAAAAAAAACAACGGUAUCUGUCAAAUGAUUUAAGGAGGGUUUAAGUCGAGAUACGAGGGAGAAAGAACAAAUAAACAAGUUUGGACUUUCUCCACCUGAUUAAAUAGAUAAUUUUCUCCUUUCAAAACCGAAUGAUGGUCUUGUAAUUUUCUCUCUAGACGCUCUCCCUGGAGAGCUUGGCGCCUCCCAUCGUCGAAAAAGAGAAAAUUGCGCCCGAAAAUGUUGGAAAAAAAAAACACCCUUUUUGUUUGGAUCCUAUCAGCAUACUUUCACUCUUCGUGAUAUCUCUGCAUGGUUCAAUAACGGACCAACACAUAUUCACGUGCCUGGACGUGCGAUCACCAAAACCGUUCAGGUUGAGAGGUCGACUCUUCUCUCUACACGUCUGUUCUUGACCCCAUUCUCGGCAGGGGGCGCCAUAUAGAGAAAGGAGCAUCAUCAACUAGAAAUUUGACUAGUCCAUCAUGCCAGAAACCCAACGUAAAAAUGCCGAUGACUGUGCUGUAUGCGAGAGAGAGAGGAAAGAAAAAGACAUUCGAUUGAAA